rnacentral:rRNA from 1 species
AUUGAACGCUGGCGGCAGGCUUAACACAUGCAAGUCGAGCGGAAACGAUGUAGCUUGCUACAGGCGUCGAGCGGCGGACGGGUGAGUAACGCGUAGGAAUCUGCCUAGUAGUGGGGGACAACAUGUGGAAACGCAUGCUAAUACCGCAUACGCCCUACGGGGGAAAGGAGGGGAUCUUCGGACCUUUCGCUAUUAGAUGAGCCUGCGUAAGAUUAGCUAGUUGGUAAGGUAAAGGCCUACCAAGGCGACGAUCUUUAACUGGUCUGAGAGGAUGGCCAGUCACACUGGGACUGAGACACGGCCCAGACUCCUACGGGAGGCAGCAGUGGGGAAUAUUGGACAAUGGGCGCAAGCCUGAUCCAGCCAUGCCGCGUGUGUGAAGAAGGCCUUAGGGUUGUAAAGCACUUUCAGGGGUGAGGAAGGGUGUUUGGUUAAUAUCCAAACAUUUUGACGUUAGCCCCAGAAGAAGCACCGGCUAACUCUGUG